AGACGGAGGGUGCUAGCGUUGUUCGGAAUUACUGGGCGUAAAGGGCGUGUAGGCGGAAAGGUCAGCUAGAGGUGAAAGCCCGGGGCUCAACCCCGGAGGGUCUUUUAGAACUGCCAUUCUUGAGAAGGUCAGAGGUUAGCGGAAUUCCUGGUGUAGCGGUGAAAUGCGUAGAUAUCAGGAGGAACACCGGUGGCGAAAGCGGCUAACUGGGGCCAUUCUGACGCUGAGGCGCGAAAGCGUGGGGAGCAAACAGGAUUAGAUACCCCGGUAGUCC
rnacentral:rRNA from 1 species